GUGCAUAAGUAAGUAUCCUUACCUGAAUACAUAGGGUAAGGAGGCGAACCGGGGGAACUGAAACAUCUAAGUACCCCGAGGAAAAGAAAUCAACCGAGAUUCCGAAAGUAGCGGCGAGCGAAAUUGGACUAGCCCUUAAGCUUUACACGCGUUAGACGAACGGUCUGGAAAGUCCGACGAUACAGGGUGAUAGUCCCGUAGUUGACGACGUGUGUUCAGUGAAAUCGAGUAGGGCGGGACACGUGAUAUCCUGUCUGAAUAUGGGGGGACCAUCCUCCAAGGCUAAAUACUACUGACUGACCGAUAGUGAACCAGUACCGUGAGGGAAAGGCGAAAAGAACC
rnacentral:rRNA from 1 species